GGGAGUCUGGCCGAGUGGUUAAGGCGUUGUGUUUAGGAAGUCGUCAUCCACCGUGUUGACACGCUUAAUUCUUGAACCGCAAUGGGCAUCGCCCGCGUAGGUUCGAUCCCUACGGCUCCCA
rfam:Purpureocillium lilacinum isolate PLFJ-1 scaffold00006, whole genome shotgun sequence.